UACGUAGGUGGCAAGCGUUAUCCGGAAUUAUUGGGCGUAAAGAGCGCGCAGGUGGUUGAUUAAGUCUGAUGUGAAAGCCAACGGCUUAACCGUGGAGGGUCAUUGGAAACUGGUCGACUUGAGUGCAGAAGAGGGAAGUGGAAUUCCAUGUGUAGCGAUGAAAUGCGUAGAGAUAUGGAGGAACACCAGUGGCGAAGGCGGCUUCCUGGUCUGUAACUGACACUGAGGCGCGAAAGCGUGGGGAGCAAACAGGAUUAGA
rnacentral:rRNA from 1 species